UGUCGUCAGGUUCGGCCGGCCAAAUAUUUUCCUUAAAUAUAUUAUUCAUUGGCGCCAGAAGCUCCCACCCUUUUCAUUCUCCCCUUCUAUUCACUCUACAAGAUACAGCUGCCAUUUCUGAACGAUUGAAAGAGUAAAAAAUCACUGGAGUUUCUGGUUGCUUGAAAGGAGAAACAAAGAAAUUACUGGAAGUUGUCUCUCUAGUUGGGUCUGUUCUCUCUCUCUCUUCACAUCCUUACCCUUUUUUUUUUCCCAUACAGAUUGACACAUUUUUUACAUAGCUGCCAAAUUUGUUUUACAGAUUGACACUUUCUUUUUACACAGCUACAGACUGAAAUCACUGGAACGGUUUUUUUAACAACUCCCAACUUUUUUUAUUUGUUUUUUUUUUUCUCUAGUUGAGUCGUGAAAGGACCUAGUGAGAAACAAAAACUUGGUUACGGGAACCGAAGGUUCACAAAGUAUAGUAAAUCGUGCUUGAAACACACCAAAAAACGCUCUACAUCCUUCAUUGUGGACUCUUGGGCUGCAUCAAAGUAUUUUUCUUAUUUCUUUGGGGAGUUGAGAUAGUUUUAACUAAUGUUGCCCAUUGUGGAUAUAUGUUAUUAACAAAAUAUUACCUCAUUGCAUAAUUAUGAC